GGAUGUCCCCAAGGAGCCACCGUGGUGACAACAAAAUGUCCCCAAGGGCCACCAUGAUGAUGAGAUGUCCCCAAGGGCCACCACGGUGACACGGAGAUGUCCCCAAGGGCCACCGUGGUGUCCCAGACUCGCCCAAUUAAAGGAUUUCACCCCAAA